AUCCAGCUGACGAGUCCAAAAUAGGACGAAACACGCGUCCUGGAU
rfam:Schistosoma mattheei strain Denwood, Zambia genome assembly, scaffold: SMTD_contig0022460